UCCCAUAUUGUCUAGUGGUUAGAUCCGGCGCUCUCACCGACGUGGCCCGGGUUCGAUUCCCGGUGUGGGAA
rnacentral:tRNA from 1 species